UAGGGAAUCUUCGGCAAUGGACGAAAGUCUGACCGAGCAACGCCGCGUGAGUGAAGAAGGUUUUCGGAUCGUAAAACUCGUGUUGGUAGAGAAGAACGUUGGUGAGAGGUGGAAAGCUCAUCAAGUGACGGUAACUACCCAGAAAGGGACGGCUAACUACGUGCCAG
rnacentral:rRNA from 1 species